UACGUAGGGUGCAGGCGUUAAUCGGAAUUACUGGGCGUAAAGCGUGCGCAGGCGGUUUCUUAAGUCAGAUGUGAAAGCCCCGGGCUUAACCUGGGAACUGCGUUUGAAACUGGGAGACUUGAGUGUGGCAGAGGGGGGUGGAAUUCCACGUGUAGCAGUGAAAUGCGUAGAUAUGUGGAGGAACACCAAUGGCGAAGGCAGCCCCUGGGUCAACACUGACGCUCAUGCACGAAAGCGUGGGGAGCAAACAGG
rnacentral:rRNA from 1 species